rnacentral:tRNA from 1 species
GGGGAUAUAGCUCAGUUGGUAGAGUGCUUGCCUUGCAAACACAAGACCCUGGGUUCAAUCCCCAGCACCA